rnacentral:rRNA from 1 species
CAUGUAUCACUCUUGGGGGUAGAGCACUGUUUGGGCUAGGGGGUCAUCCCGACUUACCAACCCCAUGCAAACUCCGAAUACCGAGAAGUGCAAUCAUGGGAGACACACGGCGGGUGAUAACGUCCGUCGUGGAAAGGGAAACAACCCAGACCAUCAGCUAAGGUCCCAAAAUUAUGGCUCAGUGGAAAACGAGGUGGGAAGGCACAGACAGCUAGGAGGUUGGCUUAGAAGCAGCCACCCUUUAAAGAAAGCGUAAUAGCUCACU